rnacentral:rRNA from 1 species
GUGAGGAAUAUUGCGCAAUGGACGAAAGUCUGACGCAGCCAUGCCGCGUGAAGGAUUGACGGCCCUAUGGGUUGUAAACUUCUUUUGUAUAGGAAUAAACCCUCGUUCGUGAACGAGGCUGAAGGUACUAUAAGAAUAAGCACCGGCUAACUCCGUGCCAGCAGCCGCGGUAAUACGGAGGGUGCAAGCGUUAUCCGGAUUUAUUGGGUUUAAAGGGUCCGUAGGCGGAUCGUUAAGUCAGUGGUGAAAUCCUACCGCUCAACGGUAGAACUGCCAUUGAUACUGGCGAUCUUGAGUAUGUAUGAAGUUGGCGGAAUGUGUGGUGUAGCGGUGAAAUGCUUAGAUAUCACAAAGAACACCGAUUGCGAAGGCAGCUGACUAAUACACAACUGACGCUGAGGGACGAAAGUGUGGGGAUCAAACAGGAUUAGAUACCCGUGUAGUCC